AGCAGCCGCGGUAAUUCCAGCUCCAAUAGCGUAUAUUAAAGUUGUUGCAGUUAAAAAGCUCGUAGUUGAAUUUCGGGAUCAAAGGAUCGGUCAUGCCUUGGUAUGUACUGGUUUUAUUGGUUCUCACCUUCUAAAGAACCAUAAUGUCAUUCAUUUGAUGUUAUGGGAAUUAGGACUGUUACCUUGAAAAAAUUAGAGUGUUUAAAGCAGGCUUACGCUUGAAUACAUUAGCAUGGAAUAAUGAAAUAGGACGUUCGAUCCUAUUUUGUUGGUUUCUAGGAUUGACGUAAUGAUUAAUAGGGAUAGUUGGGGGCAUUAGUAUUCAAUUGUCAGAGUGAAAUUCUGGAU
rnacentral:rRNA from 1 species